AACAAAUUGUUUUUUGGAUUGCAUGUGCCAGAUCCCAGGAAAAUAGGUAGAGGAACUUUAAUAAGGUGGUGAGAAUUGAGAAAAGGUCCAGGGCUUCUCAUUAGCCACAAGGUUAGAGUGAAUCAGCGAUGUGAAGCUAAUGCCAAGGGCACCAGUACAACUGAAGGGUAAAGACGUUGGUGUCCUGAUCACUGGCAGGAACAGCCCCCUCUAAAGGCCACACUCCUGUCGGACGUCACCUGGUUUAAUGCACGGGGCUUUGAGUGGCACACCGGCACCCUGGCCGGCAGUCCAGGAACAGGGAUGCCAAUGAUUAGCCUGCACGAAAGAGGCAGAGAUGCAAUCAGGAAAACUGUCAGGAGUAAAGGGAGGAGGAAAUAACUGUAAAAUGUGUCCAUAGGCAAAAUGAGGACCACAGAGCAGGUUACAGGAAGGCAAAAGGAAGAGUGUCUGUCGGAGGCUACUUACCAGUGAGGUGGUUCGCUGUGGGGAGUGCCCAGGACAAGGAGGCUGGAUGUCACUUGUCAGGGCUGCUGUAGGGAGAGGUUUUCAGAGGAUAGAACAUUGGGUUAGAUGACUGUUCCAGUCCAUUUUGACCCAGUGAUUUUCCAAGGUUAGCUUUCCAUAGGGGUAAGAUAUAGAAUAUAGUUUUGGUUUGGUUUUGUUUUAUUUGGGCAUUUACUGUAGGAUAAUAUUCAAUCAUUUACCAGUAUUCAGGCAAACUAAUUCAAGACGGGAGCACCCCUGGGACACUGCCCAAAUCUAUAAUAAUAAAAGCAUAUGCUAGUUGGUCCAGACAGCUGUACGACCUUCCAGACCUUCCAGACAAAGCCUGGCUGCGAGGGCCAAGCCCCUUCACGCAUUUGUGCGUUGGCCGCUAGUCUGAACACAAACGUACCGGUGGUUCACGUGCUGCUCACAUUCAGUUAUGUCUGCCGUGUCACAGCCAAGCUCAUGUAAGGGGUUCAAAUAAAUGCUCAUUGUUCGGCUAUAGAAGCUAUGGACAAGAACCCCCAUUCAGUGACAUGAUUUUAUCAUCUCACCUGGUCCGCUGGCUAGAUGCUUGUAGGAAGUGCCUUGGCAUUCCUGAAGGAUGCCUCCAGAGUAUGCAUUCUUCAACCCUCAAAUCCUUCAGCCUCAGCCACAGGUCAGGAGCCGGCUGUUUCUGUUGGGCCCAGCUGGCGCAGUUUUACUGCAGCACAGCGUUAACUGCUCGUGUUCAGGAGGCGACAUACCUGAACAUGAUUCCCUGAGCGGGGAAGUUAUGUUUAUCUGAAGCUCAUCUCAGUCCUUCCUAAAACAAGGAUAACGGUAGGAGUGCAUCGUAGGUCCUUGUGAGGAUUAGCACCUGAAGUGUUCAGCACAGUGCCUGGUACUAAUAAGUGCUCAAUAAAUGUUAGCCACUAGCUCCGCUGAGAUUUUUAAGUUCUGUGAGUAAGAUCGCCAUCUGCCUUUAUCAUUUUCUUUCAUGAAAUAGAUUACAGAGUCAUAAGAGCUGUGUGAAUGACUGUGAUUCAAACCACAGUUUGGAGGGAAAUAUUUGUUUCACCUGCAGUCACCUCUUUUGCCUCCUCCAAUGCUGCCCCAUCAGACUAAAUCAGUGGUCGGCAAACCGCAGCUCGCGAGCCACAUGCGGCUCUUUGGCCCCUUGAGUGUGGCUCUUCCACAAAAUACCACGUGCGGGCGAACGUACAGUGCGAUUGAAACUUCAUGGACCAUGCGUAGAAGUUGUUUUCGGCCUGAGGGAGUCCAUUUAUUGAAGAAGUGGCGUUAGAACACUCAAGGGGCCAAAGAGCCUCAUGUGGCUCUCGAGCUGCGGUUUGCCGACCACUGGAUUAGGUAAUUUCACAAAUGAGUGAAAACUAGUCACAGCAAAUAGUGUCGCUAUGAGCACUUUCAGAAAGUUUUAAAGUAAUUUAAUGGUCACCUUGCAGUCCCUCAGAAUCAGCAGAUGCUCAAUUCAUACAUCAGAUACUUUAGAUUAGAGAAUGCUCAAUGGGCAUGUUACCUUUAGACACCAAAGUACCGGAGACAUCAUAUUUCCAUUCCAUGCAUAAAUGCCUGCAUGACUUAGACUAAGUCAUAGAUCUUAGAUCCAUGUCUUAGUCCCACCUUUCUCCCAUUAGCCUUGAUGCUGCAGUUAUUCAUUUGAAUAUUAUUUCUGUGCCUUCAAUCAAAACCAUCCUGAAAGAUGAUUUUCAUGAUCCCAUUUAAAGAGAGAAAUUGAGAGAAUGUGAGAGAGUGUGGGGAGAUGCAUGAAAGAUGGUCACCAGAAUAUUAAUGGUGAAUCUUAAUUUAGUUGACUUAUGGUGUUUUUCCCUCCUAUUGUGCUUUUAUGUGUUGAUUUUUUAUAGCAUGAAUUACUUAAUUUUUAAGAGCCUUUUUAAUUGUAGGAGAUAAAAAUCACUCAAUGUCUCUUUCCCCAAAAUGCUGAUAAAAAAUUUUAAUUCCAGGGAAAAGUUUAUUUUAGCAAAUAAAUUUGUAAGUAUUCUUCAUUAAUGAAUUUUUUACAAUCUAUCUUACUUCCCUUUUUGCCUUUACCAAAAACUUACAACCAAAAUGAGAAUGCAACUUAAUAGUUCGCUUUUAAUUUUCUAGGUAACCUCAUUCAUUUGUAAGAUAAACUUCUAUUACAGUUUACUCUUCCGACAGUGUGACACCGAACUUAUGUUGUGAUUUAAACCAGAUCUAGACCCAGUCCGGUCACUUGUGAAAAUCUGUGAGCAAGAUGAAGCCACACUGUCCAGAUGAAAGGGCGGGCAUGUGGCGUCACCUGGCGGGCCUGGGCUUCCCCCACAGGGGAGGAUUGCUGCCCCCAGGGCUGAACGCAGGGUCAUCUCCCUCACCACUCUGCAGGGUUACCCAGGGCUCGACGCUAUUGGCUUAAUCAAAAGUCAAUCAAAAGUCCAUCACAACAGGUCACUCCUGUUGUGAUGAAAUAUUCCAGGUACUCAACCGUCACCAGCUGUGCUUUUUAAUUGUUUAACAUUGCAAAUCUAGUGAAUUUUGAGACUUUGCAAUGUAAACAGGAUAGUAGUCAAAGAAGUAAAUAAACCAGGUAAAUGUAUUUUUAUGAAUUUGAGUUUCAUGCCUCUGUUUCUUAGUACCUAAGUAGAAAGGUUAUUGAAGUUCCGUUUCUAAGGAGGCUUUCUCCUCUACCUCAUUAUUCAAUGAGUCUUGGUAAAGCCUAGCUUUACAGGCUUAUGUUUGUAUCUAGCUGAUUUCCUCUCAACAGAAGAGAAGUAAAUAUUCUUUCUUUUUCUUUUUUUGGAACAAGUUAUAAGUAAAAUCUGUGGGUGAUGUAGGAGAGAGUUUGAGUUGAAUGGAAGGAUGAGUUAGAUAGUCUCUACAGCCCAUUCUCAGUUCCUAGACUUGGAUUCAUGGAAAUCAUGUCCUAAAAUUUGCAGAGGAGUGUAACCCAAACUUUUGAGAUUAAAACCGUCUCAGCAGGAGGAAUACGUCAGCUGUGGUUAGCAUGCUGAAGGGACAAAUGUCAAAUCCUGUAACACUGCCCCAGACCCCACCACCAGCUCUGCAGCAGGCACGUGGCCUGGGCUGUCUCCCAGUACCCCUCCUGAGCUGUCCUCCAAGGAGUCAUGAUAGAAGCGUCUAGACCAGAUCAAAGGAGUCGAGGUCUCUGGUUUACACUCCACUCAACAUUUCUGAAUUGUUCUGCUCAGGCUUUAAGAGGAACACAGACGUGUCUCAAUAUAAAAGGGUCUGAAGAUUCAAGAUUUGAUGUCUUGGGAAAGCAUAGCUUAGAAAAAGAGGAACCUGGGUGAGAUGAAAGCGGUCUCCAGGUGUUGGAAGAAUUCCCAAAGAUGAGACUAGCCCCUACCAAGACCUUCCUUACUCCUGUCCUAGGCUGUCACUCCCACCUGGCCCCGUUAAUACUCCGAACAGCCCCCCAGAGCAUACCCAGGACCCACAGAGCAGCACUUGCUGCGACAUCUUCUGGAGACAUCACAGGGAGGUAGAUUUCCACUCGACGUAAUUCUGUCCUUCAGAAUUGUCCCCGUGACAUGGCAUGUCUUGAAGGCUAUACUUUGUUGUUAAUGCUAGUCGUGAGCUCAUACAUUGACUUACAAUCCACUGAUAAGUUUGAAAAACACUGAUCUUAAGAGCUUUGAAUUUUUAGUUUUCAACUUUUUGCUCACACUAGCACCCGUCUUUGUUUAUCUUUCUGAGAGAGCCUUUCUUGUAGCAAUGCCAGCGGAGAUUUGAACUUGCCCGAGCUGGUU